rnacentral:rRNA from 1 species
AGUGAACGCUGGCGGUAGGCCUAACACAUGCAAGUCGAACGGCAGCACAGUAAGAGCUUGCUCUUACGGGUGGCGAGUGGCGGACGGGUGAGGAAUACAUCGGAAUCUACUUUUUCGUGGGGGAUAACGUAGGGAAGCUUACGCUAAUACCGCAUACGACCUACGGGUGAAAGCAGGGGAUCUUCGGACCUUGCGCGAUUGAAUGAGCCGAUGUCGGAUUAGCUAGUUGGCGGGGUAAAGGCCCACCAAGGCGACGAUCCGUAGCUGGUCUGAGAGGAUGAUCAGCCACACUGGAACUGAGACACGGUCCAGACUCCUACGGGAGGCAGCAGUGGGGAAUAUUGGACAAUGGGCGCAAGCCUGAUCCAGCCAUACCGCGUGGGUGAAGAAGGCCUUCGGGUUGUAAAGUCCUUUUGUUGGGAAAGAAAAGCAGCAGGUUAAUACCCCGCUGUUCUGACGGUACCCAAAGAAUAAGCACCGGCUAACUUCGUG